AAGUCGUAACAAGGUUUCCGUAGGUGAACCUGCGGAAGGAUCAUUACCAAAUCCCUUUAUAUGCAACUGUGAACUGAGCUUCGUCCUUGGGGUAUGAGCAUUGCAGACUUCGAUCUGUUUUAGGAGUACCCCAAAAGGACUCAACCCACUGGUGGGUUGGACCUUACCUUAAACAACUUACAAACUUCUGAUGGAUUGUUUUUAACAAAAAUAACAAUGACAACUUUUAACGGUGGAUCUCUUGGCUCGU
rnacentral:misc_RNA from 1 species